CAAAGCAUAGCUUAACCCUAAAGCACCUAGCUUACACCUAGAAGAUGUCACGCCCAAAUGACUGCCUUGA
rnacentral:tRNA from 1 species